UAUUGGGCGUAAGCGCGCGCAGGUGGUUCUUUAAGUCUGAUGUGAAAGCCCACGGCUCAACCGUGGAGGGUCAUUGGAAACUGGGGAACUUGAGUGCAGAAGAGGAAAGUGGAAUUCCACGUGUAGCGGUGAAAUGCGUAGAGAUGUGGAGGAACACCAGUGGCGAAGGCGACUUUCUGGUCUGUAACUGACACUGAGGCGCGAAAGCGUGGGGAGCGAACAGGAUUAGAUACCCUGGUAGUCCACGCCGUAAACGAUGAGUGCUAAGUGUUAGAGGGUUUCCGCCCUUUAGUGCUGCAGCUAACGCAUUAAGCACUCCGCCUGGGGAGUACGGCCGCAAGGCUGAAACUCAAAGGAAUUGACGGGGGCCCGCACAGGCGGUGGAGCAUGUGGUUUAAUUCGAAGCAACGCGAAGAACCUUACCAGGUCUUGACAUCCUCUGACAACCCUAGAGAUAGGGCCUUCCCCUUUUGGGGGACAGAGUGACAGGUGGUGCAUGGUUGUCGUCAGCUCGUGUCGUGAGAUGUUGGGUUAAGUCCCGCAACGAGCGCAACCCUUGAUCUUAGUUGCCAGCAUUCAGUUGGGCACUCUAAGGUGACUGCCGGUGACAAACCGGAGGAAGGUGGGGAUGACGUCAAAUCAUCAUGCCCCUUGUGACCUGGGCUACACACGUGCUACAAUGGAUGGUACAAAGAGCCCGCAAACCCGCGAGGGUAAGCUAAUCUCAUAAAGCCAUUCUCAGUU
rnacentral:rRNA from 1 species